AAUGACACAAAACUCCUGCCUUAAAGCCCUAAAUGACGGCUUCAAUAUCAGCCCCAUUAAGCAUGAAAUUCAUUUACUUAAAUAAAAUCUGAAUCUUAGCCCAAACCUGGGAGAUUCAAAACCUGAGAGCAGUCUUACCAAAGACGCCCGUAUGUCUGGUGAAGUCAGUUGGAUGCAAGCAGUUUGUGCUGGUACCGGGGCCCCAGCUACUGAUGAAGUGGCAGGAGUCCACGGAAGCCUACUACAAAGUUCCUGGGGCUUCCAGGGGAGAUUGACGAGAUUCCUGGGGAGGGGAUUCAUGACAGCUGAGUUCCUUUUGGAGGAUCCAUCUUCAGGCAGUCUGACCCCCCAAGAAAGCAGCUGGAAAACAAGAGCAUGUGAAGGAAGCGCGGCAGCUCCUCGCCAGCCAGCCAGCCAGCCCCGCACCGCAGGAAUCGACACGUACGGCAGCCUAGACGCCAUCAGUUAAACUUAUAUGUAGGCUUGUUGAGGAAAACGACUUUCAAACACAAAGCAAAAGAAAAACAUGAAACCAAGGGUUCCAACAUUCAUCACCCAGUUUCAGGGACACCUUUGUAGGAAUGCUACAGCCUCUUCCUUACCCAUUCAAACCAGUCGCUCUGCUGCAUACCCACAUCACAGGAGGCCCUUAGCCCCGACACACAGGCUCACUCAGCCCAGGGACGUCAGCACCUGUGCCAGCUCCGCAGGGUAUCCACCAUGUGGCCAGAACUGAGGCCCAGCAAUUGCUGAAAUGUCCUUUAAAUGAACAGGUACAACACGUACAACCCCCAAGAGCUGACAUCCCCAAAGCCCCACCACAAAUAGCUGACUCCUACUUAUACCUGCAGGAGCAGGUGCUGACCUCUGCAAUUCUAAACCGUCCACUUUGGGCAAAAUUCAUCAAGCUAUGGAUAUGAAAAAAGGCCCCCAAGGAUAUGAUUCAUAGUCCAGCGUUUGAGUGAGCACUCCAGUCAGAACGAACUCUGCAUUGUGAACAUCUGAACAGAGUGGAAACAGACACUUGUUAGAGAUCCACUGCUGUGCGUGCGCACAUACUCAACACAGGGCAAUGACGGACUCGCUGGUGGACUCCACUCUACCCACCGAGUUCUGCUUGUGCUCCAUGAGCUUCCGGAAAGAUGGCUGCUUGGAUAACACCUUUCCUCCUGCACACUCUACGAUUGCCUUCAUAGUGGAAAGACUUGGGCAGAUUCCAGGUGUGAUGUAAAAAUAUUUUGCCUAAAAUUAAAUGAAAAUAUAUG
rnacentral:antisense_RNA from 1 species